rnacentral:lncRNA from 1 species
ACCAAUAUCUAGUAAUCAAGUUUCAUCAUUUUGGUUUUUAAUCUGCAAGCAAAUACUAGAAAACUUGAUGAUGAGUAGCUAUUGGAUGUAACACAUGAUUGUAAUGGUUUUUUCAGAAUUUUGUAAUGAUGUUCGUCCUUUUUGGUGACAAUCCCACAUGAUCAAGAAAGAAGCUUCCCAUCUUUUUUAGGGUUCGCCGUCUUCAGCCGAUACUUUGGAGCGCGGCCUUUUAUAUUUGGAAGAUUCCAAGGAAAAGUGGAUUUGUCAGCUCAUAACUCCUUAUCUCCCCAAGCCGGGAAAAGCCUUUUUGCCUCCCCUACUUUUAAUAUAUUCCCGGUUUACAGGUUCUAGAAACCCACCCAAAUA